UACGUAGGUGGCAAGCGUCAUCCGGAUUUACUGGGUGUAAAGGGCGUGUAGGCGGGAAAGCAAGUCAGAUGUGAAAACCACGGGCUCAACCUGUGGCCUGCAUUUGAAACUGUUUUUCUUGAGUACUGGAGAGGCAGACGGAAUUCCUCGUGUAGCGGUGAAAUGCGUAGAUAUGAGGAGGAACACCAGUGGCGAAGGCGGUCUGCUGGACAGCAACUGACGCUGAGGCGCGAAAGCGUGGGGAGCAAACAGG
rnacentral:rRNA from 1 species